rnacentral:snRNA from 1 species
UGGUCUGCAGCACGCGCC